rnacentral:rRNA from 2 species
AAACCGCCUAGAGGUAAACGGGUGGAUCCGCAAAGUCGGCCUGCGGAAUUCAGCUCUGAAGGCUGGCGCGAGCGGCGGGCAAGAGAUCUGAUGGGACUCUUCCGUCGCUCGACCGCUGGUCGGCCGUGUGCACUUUUCGCGGGCAGAGCGCCACGACCGGUUUCCGGGCGGCCAGAAGGCGGCGAGAAAGGUAGGUGGUUGCUCCUGGCGGCCACUGUUACAGCCUCGCCUGUCCCGAUCCGCUGGGGCACCGAGGAGCCGCCGUCGGUCGCGGCCACUCUGCUCUCUCUGGGAGUUCGACUGGCAGAGACUGGGCAAGCGUGUCUGCCGACCGCUCUCUGGGAUGGUCGGAGCGGGCCUGGCCGGCACAGGGUCGAUGGCGAAUCGGUCGGCCCUCCACCCGACCCGUCUUGAAACACGGACCAAGGAGUCUAACAUGCGCGCGAGUCGUUGGGUAGUACGAAACCCGAAGGCGAAGUAAAAGCGAGGGCGCGCCUCUGGUGCGCUCAGGAGGGAUCCCGCUCCUCACGGGGAGUGGGCGCACCGCCGGCCCGUUUCGUCCGCGCUGUCGGUGAGGCGGAGCAAGAGCGUGCACGUUGGGACCCAAAAGAUGGUGAACUAUGCCUGAGUAGGAUGAAGCCAGAGGAAACUCUGGUGGAGGUCCGCAGCGAUUCUGACGUGCAAAUCGAUCGUCAAACUUGGGUAUAGGGGCGCAAGACUAAUCGAACCAUCUAGUAGCUGGUUCCCUC